GAACGAACGCUGGCGGCAUGCCUAACACAUGCAAGUCGAACGAGACCUUCGGGUCUAGUGGCGCACGGGUGCGUAACGCGUGGGAACCUGCCCUUAGGUUCGGAAUAACUCCCCGAAAGGGGUGCUAAUACCGGAUAAUGUCUUCGGACCAAAGAUUUAUCGCCUUUGGAUGGGCCCGCGUUGGAUUAGCUAGUUGGUAGGGUAAAAGCCUACCAAGGCGACGAUCCAUAGCUGGUCUGAGAGGAUGAUCAGCCACACUGGGACUGAGACACGGCCCAGACUCCUACGGGAAGCAGCAGUGGGGAAUAUUGGACAAUGGGCGAAAGCCUGAUCCAGCAAUGCCGCGUGAGUGAUGAAGGCCUUAGGGUUGUAAAGCUCUUUUACCCGGGAUGAUAAUGACAGUACCGGGAGAAUAAGCUCCGGCUAACUCCGUG
rnacentral:rRNA from 1 species